rnacentral:rRNA from 1 species
GACGAACGCUGGCGGCGUGCUUAACACAUGCAAGUCGAACGGUAAGGCCCCUUCGGGGGUACACGAGUGGCGAACGGGUGCGUAACACGUGAGCAACCUGCCCUUGACUCUGGAAUAACAGUUGGAAACAGCUGCUAAUACUGGAUAUUCAUCGUCUCCUUCCUGGGGGGUGGUGGGAAGCUCCGGCGGUCAGGGAUGGGCUCGCGGCCUAUCAGCUUGUUGGUGAGGUAAUGGCUCACCAAGGCUUCGACGGGUAGCCGGCCUGAGAGGGCGACCGGCCACACUGGGACUGAGAUACGGCCCAGACUCCUACGGGAGGCAGCAGUGGGGAAUAUUGCACAAUGGGCGCAAGCCUGAUGCAGCAACGCCGCGUGCGGGAUGACGGCCUUCGGGUUGUAAACCGCUUUCAGUAGGGACGAAGGGUGACUGACGGUACCUACAGAAGAAGGACCGGCUAACUACGUG